rnacentral:rRNA from 1 species
UACGUAGGGUGCAAGCGUUGUCCGGAAUUAUUGGGCGUAAAGAGCUCGUAGGCGGUUUGUUGCGUCGGCUGUGAAAUCCCGAGGCUCAACCUCGGGUCUGCAGUCGAUACGAGCAAACUAGAGUGUUGCAGGGGAGACUGGAAUUCCUGGUGUAGCGGUGAAAUGCGCAGAUAUCAGGAGGAACACCGGUGGCGAAGGCGGGUCUCUGGGCCGAUAUUGACGCUGAGGCGCGAAAGCCAGGGGAGCAAACGGG